rnacentral:rRNA from 1 species
UACGUAGGGUGCGAGCGUUGUCCGGAAUUAUUGGGCGUAAAGCGCACGUAGGUGGCAUUGCAAGUCGGAUGUGAAAUCCCUCGGCUUAACCAAGGAAGUGCAUCCGAAACUGCAGUGCUUGAGUACUUAAGAGGAUCGCGGAAUUCCCGGUGUAGAGGUGAAAUUCGUAGAUAUCGGGAGGAACACCAGUGGCGAAGGCGGCGAUCUGGGAAGAUACUGACGCUGAGGUGCGAAAGCGUGGGGAGCAAACAGG